rnacentral:rRNA from 1 species
AAUCAACGCUGGCGGCGUGCCUCAGACAUGCAAGUCGAACGCGAAAGUUUCCUUCGGGGAACAAGUAGAGUGGCGCACGGGUGAGUAACACGUAGGUAAUCUACCUUUGGAUGGGGAAUAACAAUCGGAAACGGUUGCUAAUACCGCAUAAUGCAGCGGCACCUAAUGGUGACAGUUGUUAAAGCGGGGGAUCGAAAGACCUCGCGUCUGAAGAGGAGCCUGCGGCGGAUUAGCAGUUGGUAAGGUAAUGGCUUACCAAGGCUACGAUCCGUAACCGGCCUGAGAGGGCGGUCGGUCACACUGACACUGACAUACGGGUCAGACUCCUACGGGAGCAGCAGUCGGGAAUUUGGGCAAUGGGCGAAAGCCUGACCCAGCAACGCCGCGUGAAGGAU